rnacentral:piRNA from 1 species
UAAAAAACAAAACUCGGAAUUCUCAUAAUU